rnacentral:misc_RNA from 1 species
GUGAAUCAUCGAAUCUUUGAACGCACCUUGCGCUCCUUGGUAUUCUGAGGAGCAUGCCUGUUUGAGUGUCAUUAAAUCCUCAACCCACCUUCCUUGUGAAUGAGUGAGGUUGGAUGUGGAAGUUUGCUGGCUUUAUCAGUCAGCUCUUCUGAAAUGCAUUAGCAGGGCUGCUGUAUUGCGAUGCUGCCGCUUGGUAUUGAUAGUUGUCUUACCAAGUGUGUCUGAGUUAGCAAUGUGCCCCAGCUUCUAGUCGUCUCUCUGGGACAAAAUUUGACGAUUUGACCUCAAAUCAGGUAGGAC